rnacentral:lncRNA from 1 species
GAGAGAGCGAGGCAAGGAGAGGAGGAGGAGGAGGGGGGAAGCUUUAAAUAAAGCCUUUGGAUUGCAGCUGCUUAUUUUGGGCAGUCCUACCAGGGACGAUUCUUGCCAAGAAAGAAGCUGGACCGGUCUUUUUUAUUUUGAUUUUGAUUUUUGGGGGUGGCAGUGGUGUGUUGCUGAGCUGCCUGCUGAGAUGAGCUCCGGUGCCUGCCUGUAGUUGCCCGCUUUGGGAUCGCUGGACACAUAAGUGGCAUUUCGCUGGGGGAAGCCUGCAGACAUGAUACGUUUGCUGUUGAUGCCUUGAUGCCUGUACUGCCUUGGAAUCUGAUCAUAACAAAAACACAUCUUCUUCCACUUCCCUGAAUUUGCACCUGAAAUUUGCCUGGAAGCAGAAGCAGAAACUCUAAACAAUUUGGUCUUCUUUCUUCUAUCUCCAGACUGUAAUUUUUGAUUUAUUUUGCUUCUAGAUCCCAUUGCUUUAUUGUGUCCUGUAUCAGGAAAGCCUUUUUGUAUAGAAAUGAGCUUUUCCUCAAAUGUACUUGAAAGGAGUUACGAAUUUCUGUUUCUAGCCAGGGAUUUGGUCUGAGAUGAAGAAAAUGUACUGCAUAGUAAUCUGAAUUAAGAUAUAACCAGAUGCAGUUGCAACUACAAACUCUUUGGUGCCAGGUUUUCAAGACUGCUGUGCGCUUUAACUGGGGGAAGCAAUGGGACCUAUAGCCAGAAAUGGCUAGCAGCAAGUCUUAUUCUCUUUGUUUUGGUGCAUGGGGACUGCUGGAAGACCAGUGCUGGGACGGCUUCCUUGAAUGGGGUGACGGCAAGGCUCACAGCACACAGCCCGCCAUCAGCAGGGUGCUGUCCAUAUAAAGUACCUACCAGACCCGAGCCUCCUGGGAAUGCACCCAGUCAGUCCAAUGAACGUCAGCUUUCAUUUCUUCAAGAGGGAGAAGAGGGAUGGAUUUCCCCAGCUGUGAGGGGAUUAAAUGCCAUUUGGGUUGACUUGAUAACCCAGGUUUUCAAGCAAUGGGGUUGUCUGCAUUGGCAUGAACAAAUUCUCCAUUGUAUUCACCUCAAACAGGCUUUUCUUCCCAUAUCAGCCUGCAAGAGCUUUUUGUUGCAAGGUUUGGUUCUUUUUCCACCAUAGAACAAACAUAUUUAUUGUCAACACUGCAGGAAACACUGCUUUCCUUACGUCUGUGUUCCCAGGUGUCUCUCUUACACUAUCCCAGGGCACUGAUAGGCUGUAGGAUCUUGUUCCAGAGCCUUAUCUGGUUUUCAUUUCAGUAGUCCUUUUUGAGUCUACUCCUAUACAGCAACUUACCCGUGUAUCUGUCUGACCUUCUGCACCAAAAGCCACUCCGCCCUUUAAAGCGCUGAAAUAGAUUUAACUUCUUUCAUCAGUCUGGCACGCGAAGCCCCAGACUUUACCCUCAGCUCCUCUCUAUAUCAACACUGCCAGCAAAGGAUGUUGAGGCAGUGGCUUUCCAGGCUUCAGCAGUGAUAUUAUCAGGCCAUUAACCCGAGUAAGCCGUAUCGCUCGCUAUACCCGCGUAUUUUGACACCUCAGAGUUACUUUGCACUUUCUCUUGCAGCAGACAGCUUCCUCUUUGUAGCUCGGUAGCUGCUUCAUGCACUGCUUCCAGGUUUGCCUUUUAGGAUGUGUAAAGCUUAUCUGCUUCCCCCCAUGCUCUUAUUUUUUGUUUCUAUUUUUCUUUUUUUUUUUCUUUUUUUUUUGCCUUGAAAAAACAGAUCUUCAGUCAGUGUAAAUGCAGUCAGCGGAACUGCAGUGAUUUGCAGGAGCUAGCUCUGCAGCCCCUGUUUGGAGAGUUGUUAACCAUUCGCUAUUCUUCCAAAACAAUUAAGAAUUCUAGGUAAAAUGCAAUAGCAUAACACUCAGAGCAAACCAUGCAUUUAACAGAGUGUGUUCCUUGUAAUGAGUGAAUUUUAAUAGGAUUAAGAAAAAACAUUUUUUCACGUGUCUGGGCAUCUUAAUUACUGUUUCUAGGUUGGUGGUAAGAUUGUCUUUGCCUUAUGC